UGGAUAUAUUGGGUUAAAUAAAAUAUACUAUUAACAUUAAUUUACCUGUUUCUGUUUUUUUCAAACUAUGGCUACUAAACAAUGUGGAAUCGCAUCUGUGACUCAUGUCAUGGCUUGUGUCAUAUUUCUGUUGGACAGCGCUGGUUUAGACCAUCAUUUGGGUCUGAAUUUGGGUAUCCAUGAAUUAGUGAGAGGGAGAUAGGUAAAAGCACCUUAGAUUUUUGUGACCUGUUCUUGGGAUUAGUGUCCAUUCCAAGAUUUGCCAAAUUCCCUCACGUGGGUGUGCCUUUUGGAAUUUUAGAAGUGUUCCGAUGUCCUGAUGCUUGAUGCUGGUAGGAUUCAGGGUGUGUCCUAGUGGUAGUAGGGCAGGCUGUAAAAGCAGGGACUCCUACUGGGGAGGUACAAGAAAUGACCAGGCUGUCACUCCUGGUCAGGAGGCCUUUGCUCCAUCUGUAAGACAGACAUGCUCACAAUCAGAAAGGUCACCACUUCUGUUCCUGCAGUUGUCUCCUUGCCCUGCUUUGGCUAUUUACUGCACUGGAAAGAGAACCAAUGAUGGCAGAAUCUAUAAAUAACCAUAGGAUGCACAGGCCCUGAGAAAGAUCCUUUUUCUUCCCUAUUUUCUCUGUAGUCAAAGCUCAGCAAGAAGCCUGGAUCCAGGUCUGAGUUCUACAGCUAGUAAGGUCAUGGAGAAGUUGGCAAGGUUAGAAAGAAAGCCCCAGAGAAGGCUAAAGCAUCAGAAAAUUGAAUUUCUGACAGAAGGCCAACCUAACUUGGACGAUUUCCUCUGGAGAAGAAAAGGCUUCAAGUAUCUGAAAGGUUACUCUGCAGAAGGUUGUGGAUAAUUGUUCUGUCUCCACCAAGAACGAAACUGGUGGAAAAACAUUUAAACCACUACAUAGGGGAUUUGAUUUUCAGGGUAAGAGGAAUUUCCUGACAUUGAACAUAGUUUAUCCUUGGAAGAGUUUCUGUUAGUGUCUGCCCAGCCGUCUCCCUCAAAUUUCUUGCCUAGACUGCAGUGACAUUCCUGGGAGACCUCCACUGCAUAAUCGGGGAUCAGAGUUUAUGCCCUGAGAUGGGGGGAAGGCUUAGGGUCAUUUUGUCAGAGAAAAGAGGCCAGAAGCCAAACCCAUGAUGCCAGGCUAUUGGUCUUUGCCUCAUUCCUGCCUCCCAACCUGUGUAAUCUUCCCUCUUGCCGUUGAUUUUAGUCACUCGGGUUUUUACUUGAAAACAUUAAGUUAGCUUAAGCAGAAAAGCUGGAGCCAGUUCAUAAUGGUUCCUGAGCGCCAAUUGUUAAAUUUUCAGGAACUUUCUGAGCUGGUCUGAUGUCACAUUGGUAGCUUGAAAUCAGACAUGGGAGGAAAAUUUACACCACGGAAAUUGGCAAACAGUACAAUUCAGAGCCCCCUGUCUCUUCUUCCCCUUGGAGAGCCAGUUGUUAAACAUUUACCAGCAUCUGGCUGGGUGUUAGUAGCAUAACAUGACUGGUAGCUUUCUGUGCUCCUGUCUCAGGUCCUCAGACCACUUCUGAUUUCAGCCGUGGCUCUAGUGGUCAGUUUCCCUGCACAUAGAUUGCAUCUCAUCUCAAGUGUCCUCUAUCUCUGUCCUCUUUUCUGAUUCAGAGCUUUCCCCGAAGCCACAAAGUUCUCCCAGCUGUUGCAUAGGACAGCCUGGAGGUAUGGGGAAAUCAACGCUUCCGAGCACAAACCUCAACAAGUGGGGGCUGGGAGCCAGAGAAUACAUGCCUCGGACACGCAUCCUUUGAAGAGAGAGAGCAUUCUGCAUCCCAUUCUGCAUGAUUUCUCGGUGGGUCCCCAGUAGGACUGAGCCCCAUUUACUCAUCCUUAUUGACUUUUUCUCCUUCUCUGUCUUACUCUCCUCUCUCCUUCACUCCUGAUUCCUGGGGUGGUCUUCAAAAUGAACUACUUGCGCCUGUAUCCUUGUCUUAGGUUCUGCUUUUGAGGGAAGUCAAACUAACACAGGAGCUCAGAGAGUCCCUAGGAGAGCCAGAAAACCAGGCUGGGAGGGCACGUCGCCAGAAAUGAUGCCCCAAAUCAUCUACAGGGCUGGUUCAUUGGCAGCACCUCUGCUCCCUUCAUUGGGCCACAGACAUGUCACUGCUGAUCCUGAGCACUGGACAUUACUACUAGAAACUCUGCCACUGCCCCUUGGAAACCAGACAUAGCUGCCUCUACUCUCGACAGAAUGCUUCUUCAAGCCGCUAACUUCUGAUCAAAGCCUGGAGUGAGUGUGUGCGCCUCACCGGUGGACCCUAGAUCUCACAUUUUCUUUCUAGCUGUAAGGAAUGUUGGAAAGAGGGGUGGCUUGACUGAUAGGAAUAUUUUUCGAGCUCCUUGUAUACGUUGCCGAAAAGAUUAUACCAGUUACUCUCCAUCCAGCACUCACUGACCCCACAUCAUUUCUGGUGGCCCGUACAGGGACUUACUUCAUCGGCUUGUGAGCUCGAGUUCUGGUAAGUGCCCCUUUUCCUUGUGCCUUUCUCUUUUUCGAGGAUGGAUCUAAAUUCACUUCUCCAUUGGAAACUUUCUUGGAUGGCUGUAUGAAUUCAUGUUUGCUGCCCAUGGCUACUCUAUGGGGUAAAUCGUGGCAUUCAGCUUGAAGAGAAUCAGUACCUUAAGCCUCAGGGUGAUGGAGAAUGAAUUAAUCCAUUCCUUCCUGACUCUAUCUCUAAUAGACAAAUUUUACGUGGGCGCAGGUCUACCACUUAAGUCAUUAGGAUGGUCGCCAAUCUCCAAGACUCCUGUGGAAGGUUUCUUUUCCUAAGGCUGGAUUGGAAUCCCUCCCAUGGCACCUGACCAUGCUCUGAACUGAGGGAAAGUCCCAAUCGGGACUCCAGUUCAAGGAAAAUACCAAACUCUAACCUUUGGUGGAGUAUGGGAACCCCUUCUUGGGAGAAUGGCUCCAGGAUGCAAUUGGGUAGAAUGUCCCCCAGACUGGCAGAAAAUUCCUCACUGUUUUUCUCUAUCCUUUAUCCUGGGGACCAUUCACCAGGCACCUAUUACUGCCAGGCAUAAUAGGGAAGAUGUUCAAGGGAUGCCCCCAUCAUCCCUUGCUACAGGAACCCCAUUGGGGGGAUUUUCAAGGUAAUGGCUCCUUUUCUUUCAUCUCUCUUAAAGUUUUCCUUUUCUCUCAGGGACCAUUCACCAGGCACCUGUUAUUGCCAGGCAUAACAGGGAAGGUAUACAAGGGAUGCAAUGCCGGGGGAUGCCCCCAUCACCCCUUGCUAUAGGAACCCCACAGUAGGAACAAUGGCAGGAUGCUGCCCUAGGUUCAGGGGGGAUUUUUCAAGGUAAUGGACCUGUUUCUUUCAUCUCUCUUAGAGUUACAAUGGCCAUUUUUGUCUCCUUUUGAGCUUUGCAACCGGGAAACAAAGAAAUCUUUAAAGAGUCAAAGGCUCCACCCCUGGGAGCCCCAACUUUGGGUUUCUGGGCCUGACCACCCCAGCGACCCUAAGUGGGGGUGCCCUCUCUUGACGGUUAACUCAUUGAGUAUUUUAGUCACCUACUGAGUCAGUUAUGAGGGUAGGAGACCUGUGAUUUAUUCUGUGAACUGUCGUGCUAGGGUAGUGUGUCCCAGCACGGGAACUGUUGUGUGACUCUUAUCUUGAUAACCCUCUGGAAGAGGCCAUGAGGGCGAGGUCUGAUCUCUUCUUUUCCUUUCUUUGUCUGUCUUCUUCAUCACCUGCUUUGUUGUCACCAAGUCGAGGUUAAGUUCAGGCUGGACCUGAGCAGAACCUUGACCUUCUGUAAAAUUGAAAAAAUAAGCCUUUUGCCAGGGAUUUAACUCUCAACCCUGACGCUGGGAGCCCCGGCCUCCAGCCAGUUCCAGACCUUUGUGUCCUGCUUCCCUACCUCAACUGUGCUGGCUCGGAGACAAAGUGCCCAGGCUGAGCGGGACUUGACUAAAUCUUAUAACUAUGUCAACACCGGCAAUCAGCCUCUGCACACCCGCAAUUGGCCUCUGCACCCUUUCUCCAGCUGCUGUCAGUCAGACACAGGCUUUACUGUCACAGGGAAGGCCCCCUAAGUAUCCCCAGAGACCCACCCUGCGGAUGCAUUCUAACUCCAUCUGGGAGAAAAUUUGAGGGGUUUCUCUGUGCCUUUAUGAUGUAGUUGGACAGGUAGAUCAGCCUAGAACGUCAUUCAAGUUACAAUCCAGUUUCUGGGAAAUCAAGAGCAACUGUCCUUAGAAAAUCCUUGCAAGACUGGAAAUACAGCUCUAGAGGCAGUUCAGAUUCCACCUAGUUCCUUUAUCACAAAAAGGAUUAUCAUCUCCCCUCUCCAGGAACUACUAUCUAGCCUAUCAUUAAUUCCUAAGACUGAAGAAAAAAAAAAAGAGGAGGGGAGAGGAAAAACGGCCAUAAGCGUGCCCUUGCAGAAAGUCUAGCAUCUUGAGUGUCUUCUCCGCAAAUAUUGGUAAAAGAAACCAAAACAAUAGCUGUACAGUCUCUGUGUACGUGUGUCUAUGUGUACAUUAUAUGUGUGAUAUUUUACCUCCGGUUGGUAUUGCCAAAAUUAAGAGCUCUGUUCAAUUGGCUUAAAGUAAGCG
ensembl:lncRNA